CCUACGGGUGGCAGCAGUAGGGAAUCUUUCACAAUGGGCGACAGCCUUAUGGAGCACCGCCGCGUGCAGGAUGAAGGCCUUCGGGUUGUACACUGCUUUUAUAAGCGAGAAAUAUGAUGGUAACUUAUGAAUAAGGAUCGGCUAACUACGUGCCAGCAGCCGCGGUCAUACGUAGGAUCCGAGCAUUAUCCGGAGUGACUGGGUGUAAGGAGUUGCGUAGGUGGCAUAAUAAGUAGCUAGUUCAAUCUGGUGGCUCAACCAUUCAGACUAUUAGCUAAAAUGUUAAGCUCGAGACCGUUAGGGGUAACGUGAAUUUCUAGUGUAGGAGUGAAAUCCGUAGAUAUUAGAAGGAACACCAAUAGCGUAGGCAGGUUGCUGGGACGGUUCUGACACUAAGGCACGAAAGCGUAGGGAGCAAACGGGAUUAGAUACCCUGGUAGUC
rnacentral:rRNA from 1 species